UAGUAUUCAAUUGUCAGAGGUGAAANCCUUGGAUUUAUUGAAGACUAACUACUGCGAAAGCAUUUGCCAAGGAUGUUUUCAUUAAUCNAGAACGAAAGUUAGGGGAUCGAAGACGAUCAAAUACCGUCGUAGUCUUAACCAUAAACUAUGCCGACUAGGGAUCGGAUGAUGUUAAUUUUAUAAUGACUCA
rnacentral:rRNA from 1 species